AGCAGCCGCGGUAAUUCCAGCUCCAAUAGCGUAUAUUAAAGUUGCUGCAGUUAAAAAGCUCGUAGUUGAAUUUCGGGACCGAUAUAUCGGUCGUGCCUCGGUACGUACUGGUAUUUUCGGUUUCUCCCUUCUGACGAACCUUGAUGUCAUUAAUUUGGUGUCUUGGGGAAUCAGGACUGUUACUUUGAAAAAAUUUAGAGUGUUUAAAGCAGGCUCACGCUUGAAUACAUUAGCAUGGAAUAAUGAAAUAGGACGUUUGAUUCUAUUUUGUUGGUUUCUAGGAUCGACGUAAUGAUUAAUAGGGAUAGUUGGGGGCAUUAGUAUUCAAUUGUCAGAGGUGAAAUUCUUGGAUUUAUUGAAGACUAACUACUGCGAAAGCAUUUGCCAAGGAUGUUUUCAUUAAUCAAGAACGAAAGUUAGGGGAUCGAAGACGAUCAGAUACCGUCGUAGUCUUAACCAUAAACUAUGCCGACUAGGGAUCGGAUGAUGUUAAUUUUUUAAUGACUCAUUCGGCGCCUUA
rnacentral:rRNA from 1 species